AGCCUCUCAGGGUCGCACCUGGAGAGUUUCCAGUAUUCUACCAGUCUCCGCUAUGGGAGGGAGAGUCAAGCAGAGGCCUACCCAUUCCAUUCCUAGCUUGGGCAAUGGCUGGCGAGUGGAAGGCAAUCUGCUGCAAGU
rnacentral:snoRNA from 1 species